GAAUCACCGGGCUGGCCAUGAUCAGGCCGAUGGUGCUGGCCAGGGCGGUGGGAAAUCCCACCGUGCCCCGGUUCAAGUGCGCGGUGAGUCG
rnacentral:tRNA from 1 species